UACGAAGGGGGCUAGCGUUGCUCGGAAUCACUGGGCGUAAAGGGUGCGUAGGCGGGUCUUUAAGUCAGGGGUGAAAUCCCCAGGCUCAACCCAGGAACUGCGUCCGAUACUGGAAGGCUUGAAUCCGGGAGAGGGAUGCGGAAUUCCAGGUGUAGCGGUGAAAUGCGUAGAUAUCUGGAGGAACACCGGUGGCGAAGGCGGCAUCCUGGACCGGCAUUGACGCUGAGGCGCGAAAGCCAGGGGAGCAAACGGG
rnacentral:rRNA from 1 species